AUUGUAGUUGGUGGCUCCAGAGAAUGCUCCACUUAAAGAGGUGGAGGAGGAAUAUAUUUUCCUAGAGGAGAAGAAAAAUCAUGUAGAUGCUUUAUUGAACAAGGUGGCUAACUUGCUGAAAUUCCCUAACAACCCAAAACUGGAGAACAUGUUGCCACCUCUACAUAUAACGUCCAAACAGACGAAGACUGAGAAGAUGAAGAAAGAUCGUCAACUGUACCUGGCCCAACAAUCUGCUCGCGAAAAGAAACAGCCGUCCAUUACUGUAACUUCAUAAGGAAUUUAUUACAUAGGAAUAUUUACAUUUUAUAUUUACAUAUACAUAUAUUUUGACAUAUAAUUUGACACAAAUGAUUGUUGAUUGUAAAUAAUUCAAUUCUUGUUAAUUUGUUGCGACCUGUUCAUUGUUAUGGAACAAUAAAAUAGUUGAUUUUG